ACUCGUGAUGCUGAUGCGCCCAAUUAGAGUCUGUAGUUAAGGCCCCUGGGAUUGUUCUGGGCCCUGGAAAAGAAUGGCAGCAGAGUUAGUUAUCAAUGCUGACUGAGUGUGCACUCUCCUAGACACCAUGGGGAGAGGCAGAAGAGGAAACCAGAUAUGAUCCUUCUUCUUGGGACUCUCCUGACCUAGGAAAAGAGACAGAUGAAUGCAGAUAACUGAGUCUAUAUACAGAGACUGCCACAAGCUCACACUUUACUGAAUGUUCAGACCUAGUCAUACAUCCUAAGGGCAUUGUUGGAAGCUUCUGGAACUAAGUCUCUGGGGAUUUGAAUCAACUCAGAAGACUGACUCAUUCACUUGGCUGUGGAGGCUGUUCCAGAUAUUAGGAGCUAUGUAUGUGGAGCCCCGGAUUUGGGCCAAAAGAUGCAUUUGACUGGAGAGAAGGGAUUGAGAUUUGAGCAGUUGUUGGACAACACAGAAAUGAAACAGCCGUAGCAAACUUGCCUGCCGUGAUUUCUCUGCUGAGAUAAUGGGACUUUUCAGACUCCCUGUAACUG
ensembl:lncRNA CASC18 cancer susceptibility 18